rnacentral:rRNA from 1 species
UACGUAGGCAGCGAGCGUUGUUCGGAGUUACUGGGCGUAAAGCGUGCGUAGGCGGUGUCUUAAGUUUGUUGUGAAAUCUCCCGGCUUAACCGGGAGGGUGCGGCGAAUACUGAGAUGCUGGAGUGCGGGAGAGGUAAGCGGAAUUCCUGGUGUAGCGGUGAAAUGCGUAGAUAUCAGGAGGAACACCGGUGGUGUAAACGGCUUUCUGGACCAUAACUGACGCUGAGGCACGAAAGCGUGGGUAGCAAACAGG